rnacentral:lncRNA from 1 species
ACAGUCUACACUUUUGUGAAGAUUAGCUCGACCACUGGUAGAAAUGUGGUUUUUGCAAGAGGUUUGAUGAGACAAGGGAGGUCUUGCAAUUUCCUCAUCAAUGACUCUAAACUGAUUUCAGCCCGACUCUGCCUAACAAAUCUUCCUCCGUCCACUUUAGGUAAUGUCCUUUCCUGAAUUUCUUUUGUAUUUUUCCUUCUUUCUAGCUCUUCUAUGUUGAGCUACCGUCUAGAAGAAAUUGAAGGGAAAAUAAACUAAUUUAUUUUUUAUUCAAAGUCUAAAAAUUACAAUGAAUACACUAUCUUAAUUAUAGAGUCUAAGCAAACCUAACUUGACAAAGAAAUAAUAAAAUGAUUCUAGUCAUAUUAGAAAACUAUAAUAAAUUAAUCUAAUCAAGACAAGCAUAAUUUAAAUCAAAUUCUAUUUUGAAAUACUAUCUAAAUCCUAUAUCAAUUCUUAUAUCCAUUCCCCAUUAUUUUUCUUCGUUUGAGAGAACUCAACUCCAACGGGAUAGAUUGUAACUUCUUAAUCAACGAGGACAGUCUUUCCUCCUGACAAAAUAAUGAAAUCACCACAUGAUGACAAUCGAAUCUGCAAAUCAUCCUCAAGAAUAUGAUCUAAUCAAGGGAGACAAUAUUUCCAUUUAGCCAAGUAGUGACACAAAACUCCAAAAAGCAACAAUUGUGCAACACAUCAACAAAAAUUAUCACGAAAUCCAAAUGAAGAGCACAAUAGACUGAUAUGCAAAAAUAAAUGAGUAAAAUACCAAUAGCUCGAAUGUGCCCUUACAAGAAAAUAAUUCAUAAAUAUUGAAAAUAAAAUCUUCAUUUAAGUAUGAUGGCAAGUUAAAUAUAUUAUUUGAUUAUUUCCAAGUGAGAAAUUCAGAAAUUUUUUCUUUAAAUAUUACGAAAAUGGCGCCAAAGAAACAUGUAACAAGGCAUAAUGAUUAAUGUAAAAUCAUUCGUGCCUAAACUGUACAUAAAAAGCAAACUCCUAAUUUUCAUAACUAAAAUAAAUUAUAAAUUUCAUCUCAGCAAGAAAAUUAGGAAAGGAAAAAUAGAGGUCGGAACUAAAAUACUAUGACGAUAAUUAAUAAGCAAUAACCAAAUGUCAAUAUAAAAAGUACGCAAUAAAACAAUGACUUUGUACAAAAACGUAACAACAUGGAGAAUAGUACCCGGUUGAGGUAACAUUACAACAAAGUAAUUGACAAUAAUGAUUUUGGCACGAAAGUUGAGGAUAUGUAGAAUGUCAAGCUUAAUUGUGUCGUGAUCAACCAUGUUGAGGACAAGUAUGAGAGGAAAUACGAGACAAUUCUCAAAACUCAUAUCCUUACUAUGAGAAUAUUAAAUAGGCUCAAUAAUAUAACAAUUCUCAAAAGUCUUAUUGUCAUUAUGAGAAUAUUCAAUAGGCUCAAUAAUAAAAUCAACAUUUUCUUCAUCAUAAUGAGGACUAACAAAAUCAAAUUAAGGGUGAGACUCUUGGGAUUGGGGUGGUAGGCUUUUGGCAUGAUAUACUUGGCGAAAUAGAAUGGUGUGCGGUAAGCUUUAUCUAAGUAUUGGAAUGACUGUCGUCAAGCAUGAUUUCAGGACUCAAAUCAUUGAAAGAAACAUAAAUGAGGUGACAUGGGGAGCAUUAUGAAUAUCACAAUUGUGAAAUAGCUCUUUUAAGUGGGUUAGAUAUUUGAUAACAGUGGACGUACCUUGUCUACGGUGCAAAAGGAAUUGGUCUAGUAAUUGAGUUCCAAACACAGUGGCAUAUUUAUUACUUAAUAUUCAUUUUAUCUCAUUCCACAAAAGAGAAAUUAUGCUAAUCUAGACAAUCAAUCAAUAAUUCAUGAUAUAUUAAAUAUUAGUCAAUUG